AGUACUCCCGAGUCCACUCUCCCAGGAGGCUGGGAGACGGAGGCCGCUCUGUUUUCCUCAAACACCAAGGCCAAGUCUCAGCUUCAUUCAGGGCAGGCUUGUUUAAUAUCCAAGUGUCCAGGCUGAAGUCCAUCUCUGGCAUUGGGGACACAGAUAUGAAGGUGACACAGUCCCUACCCCCAGGAACUCCAGCAAUGAGAGAUGUAACAAAUACCCACAGUUAAGUGUGGUAACCACAAUCAUGUUAUGCAUAAUGGUAUCAAAGUAGAAUGAUUGACUCUAUGAUGACGACUUUACUAGACAAUGUUGAGGAAAUCUGCACAAGAUUAAUGACAAAGAAAUCAUCAUGAGUUGAUUUUAAAAAAUAGCUUACUUUCUUAUUUCAUAUUUCAAAUGAAUUGUUAACAUCGUAUUCUCAGAGGUCUUCAGAAUAUCACUGGCAAGGGCUCCCAUGUAAUUUAUUUAAAUAAAUAUUUAUUAUGUACCUUA